UUAAAAAACUCAUUAAUAAUUCAUGAAGAAAACACAAAGAAAAAUCAUAAGCGUGUCGUAUCUGUAUAUGUGAUACAGAUUCAUGUUGAUUUACAUAAACUUCAACUUUGAUUUUCUCGGCUUAGACAACGUUUAUUUUUAAAAUUACUUCGCCAAUGAACUCAUAAGAUGAGUCGUUUUUUAAGUCAUUUACAACAUUCGCGUCCGUGUUGUAUCGGAUAUACAAACUCUCGCCUUCGGCUCGAGUUUGUAUAUCCGAUACAACACGGCCGCUCAUG